rnacentral:rRNA from 1 species
UUCCUUAACGGGGGGGGGGACAGUAGGGAAUCUUCCACAAUGGGCGCAAGCCUGAUGGAGCAACACCGCGUGAGUGAAGAAGGGUUUCGGCUCGUAAAGCUCUGUUGUUAAAGAAGAACACGUAUGAGAGUAACUGUUCAUACGUUGACGGUAUUUAACCAGAAAGUCACGGCUAACUACGUGCCAGCAGCCGCGGUAAUACGUAGGUGGCAAGCGUUAUCCGGAUUUAUUGGGCGUAAAGAGAGUGCAGGCGGUUUUCUAAGUCUGAUGUGAAAGCCUUCGGCUUAACCGGAGAAGUGCAUCGGAAACUGGAUAACUUGAGUGCAGAAGAGGGUAGUGGAACUCCAUGUGUAGCGGUGGAAUGCGUAGAUAUAUGGAAGAACACCAGUGGCGAAGGCGGCUACCUGGUCUGCAACUGACGCUGAGACUCGAAAGCAUGGGUAGCGAACAGGAUUAGAUACCCUGGUAGUCCAUGCCGUAAACGAUGAGUGCUAGGUGUUGGAGGGUUUCCGCCCUUCAGUGCCGGAGCUAACGCAUUAAGCACUCCGCCUGGAGACACCA